rnacentral:rRNA from 1 species
GACAGAGGUCCCGAGCGUUAGGCGGAAUCACUGGGCUUAAAGCGUGUGUAGGCGGAUUUGUAAGUACCUUGUGAAAUCCCACGGCUUAACCGUGGAACUGCUUGGUAUACUGCUUAUCUUGGGCCAUCUAGGGGCGAGCGGAACAAACGGUGGAGCGGUGAAAUGCGUAGAUAUCGUUUGGAACGCCAAUGGUGAAAACAGCUCGCUGGGGAUGUGCCGACGCUGAGAUACGAAAGCCAGGGGAGCAAACGGG